UUUCAUACAUGGCGAUGAAAUGGCUGUAUAAUUGACGCACGAAGGGAAUGCGGUUCAAACGUCUAGCUACCAGACCAUAUUCCAACUCAAAACAAUGAUAAUUGCAUAACAAUGAUGAAAGGAACUAGCUCCAGUUGGCGAUGUGCAAAUAGUCCUCAACGGGUAGCGUUACGAAACACUCAACUGUUCCUCGGAAGAGAAAUCGAUUUGCGCCCGCCUUGAAGCAUGGAGAAAAAACCUUCAAUGUUUGAAAAUAAGCCAGCAAAACUCGAGAAAGCUGAUUGUCCAUGUUAUGCGCUGAUUGUCCAAGUUAGCGUCUUAACACCAAAAUGCAUCGGUAUAUUUGGUUGACGAAGCGGUGAUGCAAUUAGUGACAGGAUAAGACGUAUUAAUGUCAGCGAAUGUCGUUAGCCCCCUGAGCCCGUUACGCACCUCUUUCUGCCUGUUUCCUAGUGUGCCCUACCAGCUUCUCUUCCGCUACGCAUUCCAUGGCGAGUACCGAUAAUGUCGCCAGUCACAGAUUCACACAAUGACCGCGUCUAUUAGCAAUUGGGAAACGAUUGAUGAUGCUGCGGAUUUUCGUCUUCUUGUGUACCCAGGUGUCCUAACAGCUGUUUCGCCCUUGGACGGCACGUGAAGGCACCAGGCAGCCAGGGACGCCACCGUGACGCCAUUCUUACCGCAUAUAUGGCUCCAGAUACAGCAAAUACUCUAACGCGCGGCAUACUGUUCCGAGUUUAAUCUUGACAAACAGAGGUGAUAGCUUUACAAUGACCUGCGAGCACAUCAGGAGAUGGGUUUUCGCCGCCAUAAAGCUGGCAAAUCCUCUGGGUGUUGGUGAUUGGUGCUGAAUCUGGAACUCACUGACUUCGCAGGGUCGGAAGGAUAAAAGAGUGUGCCCAAAAAGAUCGGGGAAGGUAGCUAGGGACUGCCAGGCUAGUGGCCACGGGCGAUGCCAUAUCCCCCUAUUUCACCCUUUCAUACCCCAAUGGCUGACACGCACUCUUGUCCUCUGUCUGUAUCUCCUUAGGACUGAUGUGGAACUGCUUACAGACCUCAUGUAUGUGCACAUUUAACUGGGAGCGAGAAAAAGAAUGAUGCCAACAAGUUCUGUGCACCAUCAGACGCUUAUCCUCAGCGUUAAUCCUAACACCUUAGCCACGGCGGUCGCAAAGCGAUCGCGGGUCGGCGGUCGCAAAGCGAAGUAGGCGCUUCUCCACGGAUGCAAGAUCGUGGAUCCACACACAUCGGCAAACGCUUCGGAAACUUCGGGUCGUACCGAAACUUGCCGAAGCCGACCCGCUUGCAGAAGUAGGACCACCGCCGUAAUUGUAAUUUCCUCUGCCUCCUCUGGGGCCCAAAGGGCAACCCGGCGGCCUGUUCCCGACAGAAAUGGACCCGUUCCCGAAAUGAGAAAUGCUUCUUUUGGUGAUGCCGACGCCGAUUAUGGAUUAUUGCUGCGAAUGCCGUUGAAAUCUUGUGCUCCGGUUGACGGUUAAGGUGGGCACUGUCGCCAAAUCCGCUGGAUAAAUCUGCCGUUUCACCAGCGCGGUGAAUGGAUAAUGUGGCAUCAUUGCAUCAAGCGACAUUACGACGUAUUGCAGGCUACGCGCCCAGGCAUGAAAGAAAUCAUCAUUCGGACUAGUCAAGGAGUAUCACAUGCUGGGUACGGACUGCAUCUCUUCGUAAGUGAUAUAAGGAAUAUAGCUAUAAGAGAACAAAGAGGGCCCGCCCAGUAGCUUGGGCCUGACGUCUUGACCUUUGGAGCCCCGCAGCAUGAAGCAAAA
rnacentral:lncRNA from 1 species